GCCCAAGUGGCGGAAUUGGUAGACGCGCACGUUUGAGGGGCGUGUGGAGAAAUCCGUGCCGGUUCGAGUCCGGCCUUGGGCACCA
rnacentral:tRNA from 3 species